GUGGAGAAUAUUGGACAAUGGGCGCAAGCCUGAUCCAGCCAUGCCGCGUGAGUGAUGAAGGCCUUAGGGUUGUAAAGCUCUUUCAGUGGGGACGAUAAUGACGGUACCCACAGAAGAAGCCCCGGCUAACUUCGUGCCAGCAGCCGCGGUAAUACGAAGGGGGCUAGCGUUGUUCGGAUUUACUGGGCGUAAAGCGCACGUAGGCGGAUCGUUAAGUCGGGGGUGAAAUCCUGGAGCUCAACUCCAGAACUGCCUUCGAUACUGGCGAUCUUGAGUCCGGAAGAGGUGAGUGGAACUCCUAGUGUAGAGGUGGAAUUCGUAGAUAUUAGGAAGAACACCAGUGGCGAAGGCAGCUCACUGGUCCGGUACUGACGCUGAGGUGCGAAAGCGUGGGGAGCAAACAGGAUUAGAUACCCCUGUAGUCC
rnacentral:rRNA from 1 species